rnacentral:lncRNA from 1 species
UGACUUCCGUUGUGCUCAAAUAUGAUCACAAAUUCAUAGAAAAUAUUGGAUACGUUCUUUAUGGAAUAUACAAUGUAACUAUGGUGGUCGUUUUACUCAACAUGCUAAUUGCUAUGAUUAAUAGCUCAUAUCAAGAAAUUGAGAUGACAGUGAUGUAGAAUGGAAGUUUGCUCGUUCAAAACUUUGGUUAUCCUAUUUUGAUGAUGGAAAAACAUUACCUCCACCUUUCAGUCUAGUUCCUAGUCCAAAAUCAUUUGUUUAUUUCAUCAUGCGAAUUGUUAACUUUCCCAAAUGCAGAAGGAGAAGGCUUCAGAAGGAUAUAGAAAUGGGAAUGGGUAACUCAAAGUC